rnacentral:rRNA from 1 species
GACGAACGCUGGCGGCGUGGAUUAGGCAUGCAAGUCGGACGGUAGGGCUUUAUCGUAAGAUAGAGUUUGAGAGUGGCGAACGGGUGAGUAACACGUAGGAAUCUACCCUUAAGACGGGGACAACCCAGGGAAACUUGGGCUAAUACCGGAUGAGAGUGCGAGAGAUUGCAUUUAAAAGGAUGGCGAAAGUUGUCGCUUAGGGAUGAGCCUGCGGUCUAUUAGUUAGUUGGUGAGGUAAGAGCUCACCAAGGCGAUGAUAGAUAGGCGGCCUUAACGGGUGGUCGCCCACACCGGGAUUGAGAUACGGCCCAGACUCCUACGGGAGCAGCAGUCGAGAAUAGUCUACAAUGGCCGGAAGGCUGAUAGUGCGACGCCGCGUGAACGAGGGACGCCCGUUCGGGGUGUAAAGUUCUUUUCUAUACGAGCAGUGCUAUAUAUAUGGAUAGUAUAUAUAGAGGGAUAGUAGUAUAGGAAUAAGCAACGGCUAACUCCGUGCCAGCAGCCGACGGU